AAAGGAACCAUGGGCAGCAGGGAGAAGCCCAGAGAGAGGCUCUCUGCAAGGGCUGAGUGCUAGCCUGGGAGACAGCAGAUAUUCUUUAUUUCCAAAAACCGUUUUUCAUCCACUUUGUUAAAUUAAAAAGCUGUUUUUAAAGUGGUGCUGGAGGUGCUGCUGGGGGAGGGUGAACAGAACUGCCAAGUCCUCCCUCUCUGGCCUCCUCCUCCUUGGCCCCCACAGAAGCUGCCUCAGCCUGAGCCCCUGGGGUGUUCUCCAGCUCCCCUGCUCGCUGAGGCAAUCCUCUGAGAUCCCCAGGAAGAGGGUCAGGGCAUCUGAGCUACUGUUCACUGGCAGGAAGUCCUUCCUGCUGUCUGGCCUCAGUUCUUCUUGCUGCAGGGAGCCCAUUCUUUCCCCGACCACUAUCCUUCUCUUCUCCAGCUCCUGUCCCGGCUCCCUAAGGUGUUCCCAGUUUGCGGAGGAUUACGUGCCCUCUCAGCCCAGUAGCACACUUUCCAAAUAAGCCAUCAGACUCCUCCCAAGAUCCUGAAACUGAGGCUCAGAGAGCAGAAGCAGCUUGGCCAAAGUCAUACAACUGGUAGUUGGUAAAGGAGCUGGCCUUGAACUCAGGGAUAUCUUGAAAGCCACUGUUGCUUCUAUGGACUCUAGCCAUUCAAAAGACCCCUCACCUUCUAUAAGACCCCAGGAGAUCCUCAGGGUCCAACUGCUCCCUUGAAAACAGGUCCCAGAUAUAUCUGCCAAAGGUAUGAUUAGGUGCCUAAACACAUACCAUGAGAAAGGGAUUCCAUGUCUUCCAAUCCUGCCCAGAGAUGCAGAGACACCACCACCCAGGGAGAGAUAGCCAGAAACUAAAAUAAGAUGUUAGAGACAGGUGGUUGAUAGUGACAGAUACAGCCACACCAAGACAGGCUCAAAGGGAGGAAGACUGAGGGGAAGCCAGAGACAGAGAGGGACACAUUAGGCCAAAGAAUGAGAGAGAUAGCUGGAAAAGGAGACAAUAGGAGUAGAGGAGGGUACAGGCUGACAUGAAAAAACACCGACAGAUACACUCCAGUAUGCAGACAGACACAUAUAGACCCAUCUGACCUUCACAAGAAACAGACUGUGAAAGCAAGCAAGGCUCAGGCUGUGUGUGGUGUGCGUAUGUGUGUGUGCGUAUUGUGGGGGGAGCAUGCAGAGUCUGUAUAGCUACGCACAUUACACCAGCUGCUUCCAGCAAUUUCAUCUGAUUAAUAAUAAAUGCCCCAU
rnacentral:lncRNA from 1 species